AAAUGCCACCACUGAUCUGACAGGAGGCGGAGUUCUGCGGUAACAUGAGUGAUGAGGAGUGGCUGCAAAUACAGAUGAAGCUUCGUUUGCUCACUUCCUGUUGUGUGGCCCAGACAGGGCACUGUCUGUGGCCCCAGGGGUUGAGGACCCCUGGCUUUAACAACAGAAAGGUACCAUCUUACAGUUCUGGAGGCCAAAGUCUGAUAUCCAGACCCCAGUUACUGGAUUGGGAUCCACCCUCACUCAAUAUGGCCUCAGCUUAAUGAAAGACAUCUGCAGAGACCCUAUUUCUACUAAAAGCCACAUUCUGAGACUUCUCGUGGGCGUGAGUUUUUGAGAGACACUGUUCUGCUCCAUGCAGGGAGGGAAUUGGGAUCUGAAGACGUUGCAUUCGAGGUCUCGGGGCUCCUGAUGAGCAGCCUCGGCCUGACCUGGGGCAGGUGUGAUGUCUGCGGCUCACCAUCUCCACCCUGCCUGCUGUGGAAUCUCCACAACGACAGGUGCUUUGGAGGCCAGAGUGCAUGCGUACGGGCCCUGCACACGCUGAAUGUCACUGGGAACAAGGACACACCCCGCUUCCAGGAGAAGAUAGAACAUGUCGACCCCUUUUGCUCUCGUUCUGUUGCCCAGGCUGGAGUUCAGUGGCAUGAUCUUGGCUCACUGCAGCCUCGAACUCACAGGCUUAGGUGAUCCUCCCACCUCAGCCUCCUCAGUAGCUGGGACUACAGAGCCAUCCCCAGUGCAGGACAUGCUAUUGACUUCCAUGAGACAAACACCUACUUGGAAAUCAGGUUUUUUCUGUACCUUUUGAAGGAGCAGGAAUUUCCCAGCAUUUCCUGGACAAAGACGGAGGCCACAUUCGCUGCAUCCUUUCCAGCAAGAUGUCAUUCUGAGAUUUUUGUCAUUCCUGGGCGUUAUGAGGACUGCCAAGGGACACAAUUCCAUGGGAGGAAAGUUUUCUUCUAAGCUGCAAGCCAGCUCUGGCUUCUGGAGUUUCUCCUUAGGAUUGCAAGACAGUAGUUCCCUGUCCUUUAGGUCUUCUCCAGAAAUACCUUAAAAUAGCAAAUAAAAUAAGAUAUAAGCAAACAAAACCUGAAGUUAAC
rnacentral:lncRNA from 10 species